rnacentral:rRNA from 1 species
AUUGAACGCUGGCGGCAGGCCUAACACAUGCAAGUCGAACGGUAGCACAGAGGAGCUUGCUCCUUGGGUGACGAGUGGCGGACGGGUGAGUAAUGUCUGGGAAACUGCCAGAUGGAGGGGGAUAACUACUGGAAACGGUAGCUAAUACCGCAUAAUGUCGCAAGACCAAAGAGGGGGACCUUCGGGCCUCUUGCCAUCGGAUGUGCCCAGAUGGGAUUAGCUGGUAGGUGAGGUAAUGGCUCACCUAGGCGACGAUCCCUAGCUGGUCUGAGAUGAUGACCAGCCACACUGGAACUGCGACACGGGCCAGACUCCUACGGGAGGCAGCAGUGGGGAAUAUUGCACAAUGGCCGCAAGCCUGAUGCAGCCAUGCCGCGUGUGUGAAGAAGGCCUUCGGGUUGUAAAGCACUGUCAGCGGGGAGGAAGGCAGUACGGUUAAUAACCGUGUUGAUUGACGUUACCCGCAGAAGAAGCACCGGCUAACUCCGUGCCAGCCGCCGCGGUAACAC